rnacentral:lncRNA from 1 species
CCUAGCCAUCUCUCCUCUUUCAGCCAAACCCUAAAAUCUUCUAUUCAAAUGCCGAUCCAUCACCCCGAAUGGCGUUCGGCAUUUUUGAGCUAAGAAAGGUGGUUUUUUAGCCUUGAAACUCCUUUUAAACUUCGAUUUCGACGAAGCGAAAAGGAACUAGUGGCUUAAACAUAAGGUAUGAUCGCAUUUCUCUCUUUCUUUUGUUGUUUUUCUUUUAAAAUGAAAAAUAAAUAAAAAAAUCAAAAGAAACAGAUCAACAAAUAAUAGUAAAUGAAAGAGACUUAAGAAAAAUCGGGAAUCACGUUCUCAAAAAAAUGCUUUCAAAUUUUCCUAUUUAGUAUCCGUAAAAAAUACAUAGUACAUUCGGUCCUCUUUUAUAGCUGAAAAAUGAAAAUAAAAUAAAUAAGAAAAAUCCAAUUGCUUCGCUGUAAUCUGCUGUGUAUUCUGUUAUUUGCCUCUUCUCGCGUGUUCCAUUUGUAGAAAAGACCCGUACAGAGGCACGAGCGGAGAUGCGCGUGAGGGACUAGUGGCGCACGUGUGGUGUUCGUCCCGAUCACUAGCUGGCUACUGGUGAUUUCCAAAAACUUCUGGCCUGGGCUAUAUGAGCCUGUUUCGAGAACGAACUGCCAGGAACGCGGACUACUGCUACGGCGUUGAUCAGCAACUGGGGUUUGGGCUAGGGUUAGUCCUAGAUUGGGCCACUUGUGAAUCGGGCUAGGGAUUUUAGGUUUUGGGCUAGUAUUUUAUUUCUGUUUCGGGCUAUGUUUUGUUUUGGGCAUUUAUUCUUGUAAAAAAAAAACUUGGACUUUUAAUUAAUUAAUUUUGCUUUGGUUUAUUCUUGGAUAAAAUAAGUUGUAAAUAGACUUUUUGGACCAGUGGACUUUUACUAUUUUUGGUUUUAUUUUUAUUUUUAUUUUGGUUUUGGUUUUUUAUGGGCUCGGACAAAUUGGGCCGAUUACAGUGGUCUAAAGUGAAAUUAGUAUAAAAAUAUGAAGUUAAUUAUGAAGGUUAAAAUUAGUCUUGGUUUAGGGACUAAAUUGAAGAAUAAACAAAAUAUAGUGUGAAAAUUAAAAUUUAAUGUGAAGUUGAAAUGUGUAGUAUUAAUGUGAUUUAAUUGUUUUAUUUUGUAGCUAACGUCGUACCAGAAUCUUCGAGUAAAAAGGGGAAGGAUAAAAUCGACGUCGAAUAGUUCGGAAUUCAUGGUUUGUGUUUCUAUAAUCCGAAUUAAAUAGUAGAUUAUUACAUAUAUAAUUGUUUGCAUAUGGUAAGCAUUUAAGGUGAGUACUUUGGCACUUUGGGAUUUAAUUAAAUUCAUAAUUGAAAUGAAAUGGAUUGAUUGUGUAUAUUGUGAAAUAUAUUGAUUAUGAAUAUAUGUGUAUUGAGAAAAAUGUGAUUAUUAUCAAAAUGGAUAUAUGCUUAUAUGUGAUGAUAUACAUUCAUGAAAUUGAGACAUUGGUUGUAUUGAAAAGUGAAAUGAAUCCCUAUUAAUUGUAUCGGGCUGAGUCGAAUAUAGAUGGCAUGCCAUAGGAUAGGAAGAGUUUAAGGAUUACUUCGACCUCGAGUCAAUGAGGCACUGGGUGCCAAGUUGUUUUGGUUUAACCGAUGAGACACUGGGUGACAAUUUAUAUGGCGCUGGGCACAAUUAUUACUUCAGAUUUAUCCGAUGAGGCACUGGGUGCCAAACUGGUGUGUUGGUUGGAUCCGUGUAUCCAUCCGAGUCUAUGUCGUGUUAAUAGAAGAAAGUAAAAUAAUAAUUUAUGUGAUUGAUAUUGAAAUGGCAAAGAUGAGAAAUGAAUAUGAGAUGAGGAAAUAUUGAAAUGAAAAAUAUGAGAAAUGAUUAUGAGAUAAGAAAUGAAAUAUGAAAUGAUGAAUUGAGAUAUGAAACUUGAAUGAAUUCAAGUAUUGAUCAAAGAUAUGAAUCAUGCCAUUGCAUGAGAUAAUGUAUUCAAAUGUUAAAUGAAAUACCAUUGAUAUAUACUUAUAUAUUUGAACAUGUGAAAAUCUUACUAGAUGUGAAAAAGGAAUGAGCAAAAAGUAUACUAUUGAAUUGAAACAUAUGAAUAUGGCUUACUUGUUGCAUUUUUCAUUUUAAAUACUUAUAUCAAGUUUAUGUUAUUCGGAUUAUAGAAACACCACUGAGUUUUACUCAGUGUAAGGUUUUUUUUCCAUGCGUAGGCUAGGUACUGUUUGAUUUAUCGCUGACUCAGUAUCAAAUCACAAAUCCCAAGCUCAAGUGUGGUGAUAUUUCAUUUUGUAAUGGCAUGUACCUAGGGAGUCUUUUGUUGAUAUUGUUUAUAAGAUGUUUUUAACUUAGUUGCUAGUGAAAUGAUGGUUAAAUGUGUAUAUGGUUGUGGUUAGUUACUAGUGAAAUAAUGGUUAAAUGUGUAUAUGGUUAUGGUUGAGGCUAUUUGGUUUGUUACCCUAGUUUAUAUUUUGGUAUGCGAUAGUUUAAAGUUUGGUAGCUUAGCAUAAUGUUUGGUAUGUGCUUAGCUUCAUAUUGGUAACUUUAGAAGUUAAAAGUUAAUUCAAAUAUGGUAAAUGCGAAAUGAAUGAAAGUCUUGAAUGUUUGAUGCAUUGUUAAUGUAUUUGAACAUAUAAAAUGUGGCACCAAUGAGGGUACAUUGAUUUGGCAUAUUAGGUGAUGAGUUUUGUGUAUUUUGGGCAUUUUUAAUCGUAUUUUGAAUAGGUUAAAUGAUUGGUAAUUGAGUUGCUUACUGCCCAAUUAAGUAGGAAAUGACAAACUUGAGUUUUAAUGUACUUUUGGGUACAUACGGCUUGGCCACACGGGCGUGUGUCACACACAGGCAACACACAUGGGCAUGUGACCCAAGUCAGAGAGUUACAGCCUAGCCACACGAGUGUGUAACCCCUAAAAUCAAAAUUUUUGUAAUUAUUUCCUAAACUUCCAAGAUUGUUUUAAAUUAGUCCCUGCCUGUUUUCAAAUUACUUUUAAGGUCUCGUAGACUCGAAAUAGGGGUUGUAAGAGUAAUUUUUAUUCUGUAUUGGGGUGGAUCAGCAAACCUAAAUUAAGUACAUUCCAUUAACAUCAUCAAUGAUAAAUUAAAAAGAUAAUCUUAGAUGGAGUAUGGACUAAUACUCUGAUGCUAAUAAUUGGAGUAGUCUUGUAUGCAUCCGAUUUCUAACAUUCAAGAAGGGAUAAAUAGUGAUAAGAGUGUAGACAGUGGAAGACUAAGUUUAGAUUGCAUAGUAUGAAUCAUUAUUUGAUUGUAUAAUAUUCUAGUAUGAUAUGAUCUGAUUGUUUGUGACCUGCCCCUAUAUAUUAUAUUGUUAAUGGCUAGUAUAUAUAUGUGUAAUUAUGAUUGAUUAAUUGUUUGACGUGUUAGUAAUGCCCAUGACCUUAAUCCAACGAUGAAGAGGGGUUAGGGGUGUUACCCCGUCCAUCAAAAAAGCCACCAACUGUAUUUCUUUUCACAAACUCACAUUCAUGGUUUCCCACAAUAUGCCAAUUCUUCUUAUAAAAACAAGCAUGCACUUUAUUAAUGCGCAGUGUAAUACCCCUAACCCGUAUCCAUUGCUGAAAAAAGGUUACGAAAUAUUACUGCAGUUUACAGAACAUUUAAACAUAAUUGAUGACAAUUAUUAUUCAUUUUCUAAAAUUAAUUUUAAUGUCCCUUAAAUGGACCCUCGAGGCCCAAAAUACACAAUAGAAUCAAGUCGGGACUAAAUUAGAGACUCAGAAUUUUUUUUCCAUGUACAGGGUCACAUGUCCGUGUGGGUAAGCUGUGUAGCUCACACGGCAAGUGACACAGGUCACACGGUCAUGACCCCAACCCAUGUAACUCUCUGACUUGUAAAACAUUAAGGUGCAGUUUUCACACGGCCAAGACACACGCCCAUGUUCUAGGCCUUGUGGCACACAUGGUUGAGACACAUGCCUGUGUCUCUACUCGUAUGCUCAAUCCUGAGCAUUUUGUUUCUCGAAUUUAAGAUGCAGGGGACACACGACCAAACCACAUGCCCAUGUGUCAGGCCAUGUGUCACACACGGUCUAGACACACACCCGUGUGUCUACCUGUGUGGACGAAAAUAGGCCAUUCCAAGGCCACUUUUCUCACCCUUUUUGAAAAUUUACCUGCAUAUAACACUUGUACACACCAAUAUAUCCAAACAAAUCAAUUCAAGUCAAUAAUUCAUAUUUUAAACAUAUUUUAAGCAUAAUUUAUAACCACAUUAGUCAAAUUGCAUAAACAUACUAUAUUAAUCAUAUCCAUCGAAUACUAAAAACUACUACUAAAUAUAUAUAAGAAUUUCAUACCCAUAUCUCAAAUAUAACUCUUUUCCAAUCCUAUACAUGCGAUAUAAACCAUAGGGUACUUUGCAAAAUCUACAGAGAAAAUCUGGAUAGUGUGGUCUGAUGUGUUAAUCCGAUCCUUCGAACUUUUGUUAAUCUACACAGAACAUUAAACAUACAGGAGUAAGCUUAUGAAAGCUUAGUAAGUUCAUAAGCAUAAAACGUAAAUCUUACCGGUCAUACUUUAAUAAAUCAUUUAACUAACAUUUCGCUAACAUUUCCUGUCAUUCACAAUUCCAAAUGAUGAAUUCAUUUUAUUGAGCUCAAUUCCAAUGAUUACUAAAGUUCUAUCAUAUUAAUUCAUGUAACGCUUAUUAGACUUUGUCAAAUUAGAGAACAUCUUACAGAUUUGAGUACAUCGUUAAUUUGAUGCCAUAGUUCAAUUAUAGUCUUACACGAAUAUUUCCAUGGUCCUGUCAUGAUCUUUCACUCAUGAUGCCAUAACUCAGUUAUGGUUUUAUACAUGUACACUUACUGUCAUGGUCCAACCAUGGUCUUACGUUCACUGUACCAUAAUUCAGUUAUGAACUUUUCACUGAAAUGCCAUAGCCCAGCUAUGGUCUUACAUUUUCACUUUGUCAUGGUUAUACCAUGAUUUUAUCCGUCAAUACAUCACUUGUCACUAAAUAAUUGUACUCAAUCCAACGUUCUACUCAAUUUGAGCUUUGGCUUCGAUUUUCAUUUUAUCACAAUAAUCAUAAUUCCAUAACAAAGAUAUGAAAUAAUACAUUAUAUAAUCUCUAAUUUAUACAAUAAAUCAUAAAAUUCAACCAUAUGAACUUACUUGGCUAAUUUGCAAAAUUUGUAGAAAUUCAGGGACUAUUCUGCUACUUUUUCUUUUCCUCGUUUAUCUUCGAUUUCUUGAUCUAUAAUAUAAAAUUAUUCAUUCAUUAGCACACAUAUUUCAAUCUCAUUUCACUUCACAAUUUAUACCCUUCAAUUUUUGAAAUUACACAUUUACCCCAAACUUUACAAUUUUUACAAUUUAGUCACUGCUUAAUUUUCCCAUCAAUUGAGUUAAUUUUUCUCAAUUAACACUUUAUCUAAUUAUUUAAAGCUAUUAUACAGCCUUUGAUACACAUAAUUUCAACACCAAACCCUAAUUCACAACUUUUUCACAAUUAGGUGCUAAAAAAAAUUUCUAUUAAAAUCACCUAAUAAAGUCAUCAUAUAAUGAAAUUAAAGCUUCAAAUCCAUGAUAAUUCAUCAUAAACUUCCAGAACUAAUUCAUAGUAACUUUCAAAAUCACUCAUGGAAUAAAAAACAAAUGAAUUCAUUAGUUGAACUUAAUUGUAAAAGUCACAAGAAUAAAAAAAAUUUAAAAAAAAAGCAAGAAUUGAACUCACAUGGUCGAAAAUAUGAAAAACUAGCUUCAAGGUUCUCCUUUGGCAUUUUUUUGAAGUUCUGAAGGAGAAAAUGUCUAGAUUUCUCAUGAAAUUUCAAUUUUUAAGUUUAAUUUUACAAAAUUUCCAAUUUUGCCCCUUUUUCACAUUGUUCCUUUGCUAAUUUUCUUGUCCCUGCCGUCCAACCUAUUUAAACUUAGGCGAAAUUGCUCUUUAAAUCCUUCCUAUUUAUUAUUUGAACAAUUUAAUCAUUUAAAUGAACUUUGCACCUUUUACAAUUUAGUCUUUUUUGAUUAAUUAACUAUCAAAACGUUAAAAUUUCCUAACGAAACUUUAAUACUAACUCCAUAACACUCCACAAAUAUUUCUAAAAAUAUUUAUGGCUCGGUUUAUGAAUUUGAGGUUUCGAUACCUCGUUUUUGACCCAUUUUCCCAAUAAAUUCUUUUAGUUCAUAGAAUUCACUAAUUCAAAAAUUCUUCUAAUGUCAUACUUGUCUCAUAUAUAUUAUUUUAUUAAAAUUUUAAAUUCACUUUUCGGAUUUAGUGAUCUUGAAUCACCGUUUCUGACACCACUAAAAAUUAGAUUGUUACACGCAGCAUUUAAAGGCAUCAUUUCAAACACUGCAACUUUAACUUCCUUAUAAAAAAUUGGCAGACAUAAUCGAUCUAAUUCCUGAUUUGGGAAUAUGUAAAAAGCCCCUUGAAUAGGAUAAUAAGCAUUAAUAAAAGUAUCUUUAGUAAAAAGAUUAAAAUAGAAUACCAUAACCACCUGUUUCAAAUUUGCUUGAUCCUCACAUAUUAUUUGCCCUACUUCUCUUAAUAGUGCUAAGGUGGAAAAACUAAGUGUUACGAUCACCCUCAAACAACCAUCUACUUCUUGACUUUUGGUACCAAAGGCUUUCCUCUUGAGCUAGUACUGUAUUCAAAUCCAUCAUAAGGACUCUCUUAAAUUAGAUUAAAACAUUUGAUGGAGAUCUCUCUAAAGUUUUUUCAAUACCACUUAUUCUAGCUAACAACUUCCUCUUACGAUACGUGAUAUUGCCAAAAAUAGUAGAGUUCCACUCCCUUGCUGCUUUAGUGAAAUGCUCAAUGUUAUGGCAUAUGUCUUUAUCAUGUGACCAUGUAUAUCUUAGCAUUUCUAGAAAUCCUAGAUGUUGUUGCCAUGUAUCGAUAAAUGGGACGACCGAGGUCCUUUCAAACUACCAUUAUUUAUCGAGUGCAAAAGAAUCAUCUAAACUCAAUUGUUGCAAAUGAGUAAAUUUAGAAUCCAAAAAAUCCAUCAACCACUUUUCAUUACAAAUACAACAAUCUAGCCUUUAUUUGAGGUUAUCUCGAGACCAAGUAUAGGCAGGACCCAAGUAUCCUAAAUCAUGCAAACUUAUAUAAAAAAUAAAAUUAUUAAAGAGGCUACUAACCCCAUUCAUGUUAGGUGACCCUCCAUCAUGCUCAUAUGCAGAGAUAAUUGCAUUAAAAUCCCCACCCAAUAAUUAUGCUUUUUUCAGACAAACACCUAAAGCAGCAAGUUAUGGCCAUAGUUUUUUCUAUUUCAUGCCAUCAGGACUGGCAUAGGCAACAAUCAAAUAAACCUUAGCCUUCACAUUAGACUUUUGAUAACACACAUGAAUGAACUGUUUAGUAAGACUAAGGAUAUCAUUCUGUAUACUUGACUUCUAGACCAUCCAAAUACCUUUUGAGAAACCCCUCGUCUCCAUACAAAAAGAAUACAAAUAACCACGAAUAACAUCGUUGCCUUGGUGCCACUAAUUUGUGUUUGCAUCAAAAUAAUGGCAUUUGGUUGAUAGCUUUAAAUUUUUGCCAAAAUAAUCCAAAUACACUCGCAGCCCCUUGGCAAUUCCAAAGCAAACACUUUAACAUAAAAAAGAUCGGGCAAGAAACACUAAUUCAUAGGUGAUUAACCAUAGAUACAUUGGUCUCUUCCACAGUAAUUCAAAUCGAGCUGCCUUCUGUGUUGGAAAAUUUUGGUUUGAAAAUGGUUUUCUUGCAGAUCGAAAAAUUAAAAUUUUAAAAAACGACCUGGUUUGUGAUAUUUAUAGUAAUAAACCCUAGACCGAAUUCAUACUUGUGUUUUUAGAUAGGCAGAUCCUUAUUGUUCCUGGUUUUAACCAAACAAUCUUCUUCACUAUUCCCGUACCACGAAUUGCUUCGAGUGUGGGCUCGAAGAAAUUGAAACAAGCACAGAACCAUAAAUAUUUUCUUACUUUCAAUGGGAAAGUAAAUCUCUCUUAAAUAGAAACCGGUGGAAUUGUAAUUCUCAGAAAAUAUAAUUUAUUCUUAAAGUAAAGUACCACUAUUUUCUGCCAGAAUAACAAUAUUGAAAACUUUAGAGAAACUUGGUAUUUUCUCUUUCAAUUGGUGUGAUUUGAAGCCUACCAGUGCCAUCAAUUUAUAAUGAGAGUUGGUAGAAUCUUGGUUGAAGUGGUAUACUACAAACAAUAUUAUUUUGAAAGAAAAAGUCUUCAACUUCCUAUUAUUUAGGGAGAAGGGCAACAACCUUAGAUAGGAACACUAGGGUCUGUUGUCCCAUGUAUUCCAUAUAAUGGGAAUUGGGCCUCUCUUAUACUGGGUCCAAUUAUCUAUACUUUCUAGACUUUAACCCAACACUUUAUAAUUUAUUGCAACCCAGUACAUGUUUUUUCUAUUUUUAAAAUUAAAUAUUAUUUUUUCAAAUUUAAAUGAAUAAAUUUCUUAAUUAAAUAAUUUUCUCAACCUAAUUCUAAUUUUUUUUAAAAUCAUGACAAUUUUACCGUAAAAGAGUCUAUGAGAAAAUAUAUUUAAUUUUUUACAUUCAAUUAGACUCACAAUGACCAAUUAAUUUAAAUCCAUUUUUGAACUUCAAUUAAUUAAUUAAUUAAUAAUUCAAAAAACUAUAAAUUAAGUCUCAAGUUAUUUCUAUACUUAGUGAUAAAACCACAUUCAUUUCCGAAUGUAAUCCAUUUCUCUAACUUUAUCAUUUUUUCCAUUUCUGUUCAUUUGAUUUAUCCUGCAAUGUAUUUCUAGUUUCAACGAGCUAGCAGAUAGACCAAUUGGGCAUAUUAAAUCAAGGCUCAAGUGAUUUAUAAUUAGGUUCUAGCUUUUCACCUAUUAAUUAUAAACUCAUUUAAUCACAAAGUCAUUCCAAUAUAGUAUCGUGACUGAGCUCUCCCCAGUAGUAUACCAUUAUGAAAGCAACUUGAUUUGUGUUUUUGUCCAAUGAUUUUAUCAUAAAUGUGUUCCCUUAUAGGAUAUUCUUAAUCUCUUUGGGAUAAUAUCCAUUCUCCCAAUAUGAUCUUAUUUUAUCUCAUGGUAACCAUCACAUCUUCCUUCAUAAAAAGUAAAUUAUUAUCACAUAGAAAUCAAGUCAUUCGUCACAAAGAUGAACGACCCAUGGCCACAUUUUAUUUUCAUCAACUAUGUAAUUCCAAUGAGAGGAUAUCAUUUACCCAUGUCUCAGGCUAUUAAUUCGACUAUUGUGAAUGACACUACAUACUGUAGAAGUCGUACACCCAACAUACCAGCUUUCGGUUCCUUAUCUAUUUGAACUUAAGCUUUUACUUAUAUCAAAGUGUACUAGUUAUGCAUACAUAGUUCGUACUCAGGAUUUAGGUAUGCUACACUAUGAAUGUCACAAGUGAAUAAUUCCAUAAAAGGAUUCAAGAUCUAUUCCUUUUGGGUCUAGUCUGAUGUACUGUCAGUCCAGUCAGUCACAUUUAUGUCUCUAUCUUCUAGGAGUCAUUUGCUCUGAUGCUCAAGACAAAGCAUCUUCCUAAUUGGACUUGAUAGGUGGUAUAUAGUCUUUCAAUCAGUUUGCUCAUUUUCGAUUAGACUAAGGACAUGUUUAGGUUCAUCUACUAAUAUAAGUUGUCUUUUCGUAUUAUGAUCCGACCACAUAAUUAGUUAAACAUUAGACAACUAAUGAGCAACAUUUGCUUCCAUUUUGCUUUGUGUGCAAAACCUUUAUGAGGACAACUAUAUAAUGUAUAUUAAUGUAAUUAAUAAAUUUUUUUUAUUAACCAAUCUGUUCGAAAAAAAUUAUAAGUGUAUAUUGAUGAAAAUACUACACUUAGGGUAUUAGAUCCAAUAUUCUACUGGAUCAACAACUUCAAUUUUGACUUUCUCUAUCCCUGAACCCACCACAAUAGCAUUAGAGUCACAUCCCUACUUGAUUCGUUAGACUUGUUCAUCAAGUUCUCUGGUAACAGAAUCAACCCAAUCUUCUACCAAUGGUUUUGAGGUGGGGUUGUAACCCGUUUUCUUUUUCCGAAUUUUAACACAUUUUUUUGUAAUUUCUUUCAUACCUUUAAUACGCCCCUUAAUCUGAGAAUUCAAAAUCUUUCUACUUGGACCUGUAUGAUGAAACUUACCCUUAUCCUCAUCACUAUCAACAACCAUAACUGUUCUAUGAUUUUUCAUAGGUAAUGUGGUUUGUUGGUCAAUGAUUGUGAUGGGCCUUACACUAUUUUCAGCAAGUCCAUUCUCCUUAAUCCCAUUAAUUGUCGAAGAACUACUCCUCGAUGCACUACUAGUAGCCUAAACUUUAGUAACAAACUUAGACAAUAUUGGUCCCCCACUUACCACAUUCUUACAUUUAUUAACCUUUAUAUUACCAUGUAAAGUUUGCAUGGAUUUUGUACCACCCACAAGAUUUUGUGGCAAAACAUUGGUCCCUUCCUUAGACUAUUCUUCAAAAUCCUCCACCACCACCUUAUUCAAUAUAUCAAAUUAAGAAGAAUUUGCACUUACCUUAUUUUUCCAAGUUUCCUUUCAAAUUGAGAAGAAUUUGCACUUACCUUAUUUUUCCAAGUUUCUUUUCAAAUUGAGAAGAAUUUGCACUUACCUUAUUUUUCCAAGUUUCCUUUCCUUUUCUACUUUCCUUGCCAGUUGCCACACCUCUCUUUCUUCGACUGUUCACAUGCAUCUAAGGACCAUACAAUGAUUGCUAGUUCUUAAAAUUUAUAGCAAUGUUCUCAACCAUCGUAGGAUCAAUGAUUUCUUUAUUUCCUUUUUUUGUACUAUGAGUGAAGCUAUCACUUUAUGGCCAAAUCUCCCACAAUCACAACAAACUGGUGGUAGACCCUCAUAUUCAAUAGGUUGCGGUACACCAUCAAGACUAACAAACUGACCAAAAGUGUGAUAUCCUGAAUUAGGGCCUAAUCGGAAUAGUGGUUUUGGGACCACAAAUUCGAGAUAGAAAUAAUUAUUUUAUAAUUAUUUUGAGGUCUAUGAUAUGAUCGCAUGAUUGUGUGAAAAUUUCGUGAAGAAAUUCUAUUCAUAAAGUGCUUAAUUUGAAGUUAGGGACAAAGUGCAAAACUUGCAUUCUAGAAGUUUCUAGUAUGAAAUUGCUUUGAAAUAUUAAUUAGGAGGUCUUAAAUAGCAAUUUGACCAAUUUCUAAGUUUAUGGACAAAAAUUGGACAUGGAUGGAGUUUUUGAAAGUUUAGUAAGGAAGGGCAUUUUGGUCAUUUGGAUAUUAAAUGAAAUAAAAUGGGAAAAAUAACAAAAAAAUGAUCAUCUUCUCCAUAAGUUGCUGCUAAAUUUUUCUCUCCACCAUAGCUAGGGUUUCAACACUUUUAACCCUUGAUUGUAAGUGAUUUCUAUGCCCGUUUUUAAUGUUCUUUACAUUUUUGAAAUCCUCGUAGCUCGGUUUACCUGUUUCUACCAAUAUUUUGAGCUAGGGUUUAUAUUUAAAAAUUUACCCAUGAAUGAUAUGCAUGAAUUUUGAUGUUUUAUGGUAGAAUAUGAAGCUUGAGAUUGUGUUAAACAACUUUUGCUAAGUGAUUUUACGUAAAAACGACUAAAAUGACAUAAUCGGUAAAAUACCUAAUGUUCAUAAGUACAUGUUAGAGUGAGAAUUGGAUGUUGCUAUAGAAGGGAAAAAUGAUUAGCAUGUCAUAAAACAUAAUAAAAUAGGAUGAGGUUUAAUUUACGAGCCUUGGGGAAAAAGUGUAAAUAUGUGAAAGUUUAGGGGUAAAAUGGUAAUUUUGCCAAAGUUCGUACUAGGGGCUGUUUUGAUGAAUGUGUGUAUUAAAUAAAUUAAUUUGGUAUUAUAGAUCAAGAGAAAAGAGAUUCGAGUCGAGAUCGGGGGAAAAAUAAAGUUUACAAGGAAUAGGCUCGACUAUUCUCAUUUUGUAUUGAGGUAAGUUCAUAUGUAAAUAUUGUAACAUAACCGUUAUUUUAAAUCAUUUAAUGCUAUUUAUACGAUAUUAUGAUUGUUAUCAUGCAAUUCUAUGCUUUGUGGUCAUUGUUGGACAACAUGCAAAAAUUUUAUGAAUUAUGUGAAAAAUGUGAAAGACUACCGAAGUAUCGUCAUUGGUAUUCCAAGGAGAAUGGUAAAGGAGUGCGAGCGAGGAAAGUCCCGUUGAACUUUAGGAAUAGAUUCAGAUAUUUGGGCAUCUGAACUCGUUGAGUUGAGUCCGAGUUCACUUAUGGAUGCGAACGUCCGAACUCGUUUAGUUGAGUCCUAGUUCGUGAGAUGUAACUAGGCAUCUGAACUCGUUGAGUUGAGUCCGAGUUCACUUAUGGAUGCGAAUGUCUGAACUCGUUGAGUUGAGUCCGAGUUCGUGAAAUGUAACUAGGCAUCCGAACUCGUUGAGUUGAGUCCGAGUUCACUUAUGGAUGCGAACACCCGAACUCGUUGAGUUGAGUCCGAGUUCGCUUAUGGGCGGGUUACAUGGUAGCUUGGCUACAUAUGUGGCACUUAUGUGCAGACUUUCCAUGUAUCCGAGUUAUAUUCCGAUGUGUUAAAUGGGUAAAAUUCUAGUGAAAUGGAAGAAUACUCAAGAUGCAAGUGACGUAUUGGUAAGUGUUGUGGAAUGGGCACUUUGGACAGGUAUGUACUUAACCCUUGGGUUGAGACUUGAUACGACAACAAUAAUGUAGUAAGACGAUGAAUGAUGAAUAGAAAUGUGAUAUAUGUUUUGGUGAUAUUAUACUAAUGUUGGUUGGUAUAAUUGCUUUGUUAAGUUAUUUGUUAUUUGCAUGUGAACUUACUAAGCAUUUAUGCUUACUCCUUCCCUUCCAUUCCUUGUAGUUUUGAUAAGCCGGUUUGGAGAUCAGGACGGUCGGAGGCACGCUCACACUAUCAACGGACCAUAUCGGUAUGGUGGCUUGCAUAUUUUGGGAAUAUGACAUGUAUAACAUUAUAAUCCUUUUGUGUAU